rnacentral:rRNA from 1 species
UACGGAAGGUCCGGGCGUUAUCCGGAUUUAUUGGGUUUAAAGGGAGCGUAGGCCGCUUUGUAAGCGUGUUGUGAAAUUUGCCGGCUCAACCGGUAACUUGCAGCGCGAACUGCAGAGCUUGAGUGUGCGCAACGUUGGCGGAAUUCGUCGUGUAGCGGUGAAAUGCUUAGAUAUGACGAAGAACUCCGAUUGCGAAGGCAGCUGACGGGAGCACUACUGACGCUGAAGCUCGAAAGUGCGGGUAUCGAACAGGAUUAGAUACCCUGGUAGUCCGCACGGUAAACGAUGGAUGCCCGCUGUUUGCACCUAGUUGCAAGCGGCCAAGCGAAAGCGUUAAGCAUCCCACCUGGGGAGUACGCCGGCAACGGUGAA